UCUAGGGCGAUAGCAGUCUGAAUGAGUGACGGGUCUCAUGAGAACUCAGAAACUAAGCAGGGUCGGUCUGGUUAUUACUUGCAAUGGGAGACCACUUGGGAAAACCGGGUGUCCCCAAAA
rnacentral:rRNA from 1 species